rnacentral:rRNA from 1 species
UAGGGAAUCUUCGGCAAUGGACGAAAGUCUGACCGAGCAACGCCGCGUGAGUGAAGAAGGUUUUCGGAUCGUAAAACUCUGUUGUUAGAGAAGAACAAGGACGUUAGUAACUGAACGUCCCCUGACGGUAUCUAACCAGAAAGCCACGGCUAACUACGUGCCAGCAGCCGCGGUAAUACGUAGGUGGCAAGCGUUGUCCGGAUUUAUUGGGCGUAAAGCGAGCGCAGGCGGUUUCUUAAGUCUGAUGUGAAAGCCCCCGGCUCAACCGGGGAGGGUCAUUUGAAACUGGGGGACUUGAGUGCAGAAGAGGAGAGUGGAAUUCCAUGUGUAGCGGUGAAAUGCGUAGAUAUAUGGAGGAACACCAGUGGCGAAGGCGGCGCUCUGGUCUGUAACUGACGCUGAGGCUCGAAAGCGUGGGGAGCAAACAGG